AUUUGACGAUGGAUCACCAGUGAGCGGCGACGGUGAGUAACACGUGGGCAACCUGCCCUGGAGCGGGGGAUAACAUCUGGAAACAGGUGCUAAUACCGCAUAACAACGAAAACCACAUGGUUUUCGUUUCAAAGAUGGUUUCGGCUAUCACUCCAGGAUGGGCCCGCGGUGCAUUAGCUAGUUGGUAAGGUAACGGCUUACCAAGGCGAUGAUGCAUAGCCGAGUUGAGAGACUGAACGGCCACAUUGGGACUGAGACACGGCCCAAACUCC
rnacentral:rRNA from 1 species